rnacentral:rRNA from 1 species
CCUACGGGCGGCUGCAGUGGGGAAUAUUGGACAAUGGGCGAAAGCCUGAUCCAGCCAUGCCGCGUGUGUGAAGAAGGCCUUCGGGUUGUAAAGCACUUUCAGUGGGGAAGAAAGCCUUGGGGCUAAUACCCUCGAGGAAGGACAUCACCCACAGAAGAAGCACCGGCUAACUCCGUGCCAGCAGCCGCGGUAAUACGGAGGGUGCGAGCGUUAAUCGGAAUUACUGGGCGUAAAGCGCGCGUAGGCGGUCUGAUAAGCCGGUUGUGAAAGCCCCGGGCUCAACCUGGGAACGGCAUCCGGAACUGUCAGGCUAGAGUGCAGGAGAGGAAGGUAGAAUUCCCGGUGUAGCGGUGAAAUGCGUAGAGAUCGGGAGGAAUACCAGUGGCGAAGGCGGCCUUCUGGACUGACACUGACGCUGAGGUGCGAAAGCGUGGGUAGCAAACAGGAUUAGAUCCCCCGGGUAGUC